rnacentral:rRNA from 1 species
UACGUAGGGUGCGAGCGUUAAUCGGAAUUACUGGGCGUAAAGCGUGCGCAGGCGGUUGUGCAAGACAGAUGUGAAAUCCCCGGGCUUAACCUGGGAAUGGCAUUCGGGACUGCAAGGCUGGAGUGCGGCAGAGGAGACUGGAAUUCCUGGUGUAGCAGUGAAAUGCGUAGAUAUGCGGAGGAACACCGAUGGCGAAGGCAAUCCCCUGGGCCUGCACUGACGCUCAUGCACGAAAGCGUGGGGAGCAAACAGG